GCAAUCUUCUACCUUUCCCUCUCCCUCGUCUGCCUGCCUGCCUGCCUCCCACCCACAUAGCCGCCGCCGCCGUUGAUUCGGUGCCCCUCUUCCCCACCGCCACCGCCACUGCCCCCACCCUCUCCCUAUCCCCUCACCUUCUCUCCCUAACCUAGACGGGGCACCAGAACGGGCAGUCCAUGGGGCUUCCAGAUCCGUGGAGGAGCGCCGGAGGUCGCGCGCCGCCCGCCGUGCGGUUUUGCGCUACGGCCGGCCGGCCGUCGUCUCCGCCACGGUCGUCCUCUUCCUCCUCUGCUCCACCGCGUACAUCGACGGCGCCGCCGUGGCCGACCUCGAGCCUUUUCGCCUUCUCCUCGUCUGACGCGGAGGUGCUCUUACCCGACCUCGCCGCCGGGCCAAGGAAACCCCACCCCGCCGCGAGCUUUUCAUCCCUCAGGUCCUGCAAAAGCGUGCUCAAAGGCAUGCCACCUAGUUGUGGAAGAGCUGGUUAAGGAGUGGGAGCUCCCUUUUGUGGCCCAGCUCACAUCGACACACAGCCCCCUCCCUGCUUCCUCUGCGUCUCCGAUGGCUGCUUCUUCUUCGACUCCGGCAUAGAAAAUGGAGCUGAUUCUUUGAGGUCAUCCAGCUUUCUACAACAUCGACAGUGGUGGCCGCCUCUUCCUCGUUUCAGGCAAAUGCAUGGUUACACAAAGGGCCCUGCUGCUUCCUGCAGGAAUUUGGUCGUCUUGGUCCUCCACGGCGAGUUGGACUUUAUUUAAGUACUAUGCUCAUCCUUUCUACCACAACAUGUACAAGGAAUACCGUGACACCACCCCCGUCAAGGAGAUGUACAGAGAUGGCUUCCCGUCACUGCCAGAUCCCCCUGCAUCCAGAUCAUCAAGACUGCCACUGUCCACUUGAGCAUCUGCAAGCGUCAUAACACUAAGCAGUUUCACAAGUCAGACAUCAGGUUCCCGCUGGUCUACCAGAAGGCCGAGCAGCCA